rnacentral:rRNA from 1 species
AUGCGGCGGGAAGAAGUGGCAUUUAGAAGUGUUGCUGACUUUACAUUUAGGUUUCGGCAUAACAAAGCUUGCACUGUCUUUUCGCACUUAGGCGCACAGCGUGCCGUUGGUAAUGAUUCUACUACGGUGCUGCAAAUUCGCAAGCUGAUCCUAAGUAAUCGUUUGUGUUCAUUGGAUUCCUCCGGAAUUACUUCGUUAGGAUUGAAGAAUUGCUGCAAUUCUUCCUGA